GGAGCAGUUAGACAUCUUGCCAGCCCCCACCCCCAAAUGACAAGCGCAGCCUCCUCCCCGCAGAGCCCAGAAACGUGAAGAGCAGCCGAGAAGCUUCCCCUGGGCCCGGGUUCAUUUUGUUUCCCUAAGGAAAAGCUGCCCUCAGAAUCAACUCCGUCUCUGUGGGUUCUGACCACAAGCCCUAGGACCAGGGAGGGUCUCGGGCCCAUCCCUGCGGCUCGACCCCUACUCACCUCUCUUCUCAAGACGUUUUCAACGGAAAGACCACCAUAGGGAUACAGUCUGCACCACGACGAGUACUUCUGGAGCAGUACGAUUGAUUCGCAGGGCUUCACAUCUGUUGACACUUCCGGGGAGUGUACGUGCAGAAUCUCCCAAGCUCAAAAUAUUCCUUCUCUUCCUUUGGAGUCCCCAGCCUGGCACAGAACAGGCAGGCCAUACUGGGUGACUUCAUAUAAUCCCCCUCCCUCAAGAAAAAAACUCACCCAAUCUACCGGAAAUAAUUCAGCACAGUGGCCAAACCCUCCAAAGUACCGAAACCUCAACGAAGCAAUGAAAAGCCAUUCUGGCUGCAAUGGAAAAUAAGGCAAGCCCUGCCAACCAGGGACUUUGCAAACCACAGGAAAAACAGAACGUGUGAACUCGCGACUGGGGUCAAUACGUGUAGUUCUGGAAGGUCUCACUGAACCUGAAAUGGAGACUCUAGGACGGUCACCCGUCUCCGAGGAGAAGAGCGUCCCUUUAAGAAGAGACUGGACCCGCUGGCCGCACUACAGCUCCCAGAGAUUUCCUGGCUCGCCUCCUGUCCCCACCCCCGAGCUUUCGGCCUCAGCAACGCGUGACGUCAUAAGAGGCUGCAGCUGCCGAUUGGCUGAACUCCGCAGCUAGGUCAAGUCCAGUCAGAGGAAAGAAGUUUGUCUCCAUGUGGAAACCAUGUGUCUCUAGCUGGGAGGGGGAGGAGGAGGAGGCGGAGAAACUGAGAUCAAGUGAUUAUAAGGGAACUGGCAGAAAUGAAGGCGGGGAAGUGGUGCACCUGAGCCGGCCAGAAAUGCCCUUUGCAGUAGUGACCUAAAA